GUGGGGAAUAUUGGACAAUGGGCGAAAGCCUGAUCCAGCCAUGCCGCGUGUGUGAAGAAGGUCUUCGGAUUGUAAAGCACUUUAAGUUGGGAGGAGGGGCAGUAAGUUAAUACCUUGCUGUUUUGACGUUACCGACAGAAUAAGCACCGGCUAACUUCGUGCCAGCAGCCGCGGUAAUACGAAGGGUGCAAGCGUUAAUCGGAAUUACUGGGCGUAAAGCGCGCGUAGGUGGUUUUGUAAGUUGGAGGUGAAAUCCCCGGGCUCAACCUGGGAACUGCCUCCAAAACUGCAUGACUAGAGUACGGUAGAGGGUAGUGGAAUUUCCUGUGUAGCGGUGAAAUGCGUAGAUAUAGGAAGGAACACCAGUGGCGAAGGCGACUACCUGGACUGAUACUGACACUGAGGUGCGAAAGCGUGGGGAGCAAACAGGAUUAGAAACCCUGGUAGUCC
rnacentral:rRNA from 1 species